rnacentral:rRNA from 1 species
GUGGGGAAUUUUGGACAAUGGGCGCAAGCCUGAUCCAGCCAUGCCGCGUGAGUGAAGAAGGCCUUCGGGUUGUAAAGCUCUUUCAGCCGGAAAGAAAUCGCACUGGUUAAUACCUUGUGUGGAUGACGGUACCGGAAGAAGAAGCACCGGCUAACUACGUGCCAGCAGCCGCGGUAAUACGUAGGGUGCGAGCGUUAAUCGGAAUUACUGGGCGUAAAGCGUGCGCAGGCGGUUUUGUAAGACAGACGUGAAAUCCCCGGGCUUAACCUGGGAACUGCGUUUGUGACUGCAAGGCUAGAGUACGGCAGAGGGGGGUAGAAUUCCACGUGUAGCAGUGAAAUGCGUAGAUAUGUGGAGGAAUACCGAUGGCGAAGGCAGCCCCCUGGGUCGAUACUGACGCUCAUGCACGAAAGCGUGGGGAGCAAACAGGAUUAGAAACCCCAGUAGUCC